UACGUAGGGUGCAAGCGUUACCCGGAGUUAUUGGGCGUAAAGAGUUGCGUAGGCGCCCCGCUAAGUUUUUGGUUAAAUAUCAGAGCUCAACUCUGAAAAUGCCAAAAAAACUGGCAGGGUUGAGGAAGGUAGGGGAAAGCGGAAUUUGUGGUGGAGCAGUGAAAUGCUUUGAUAUCACAAGGAACACCGAAGGCGAAGGCAGCUUUCUGGGCCUUUCCUGACGCUGAGGUACGAAAGCGUGGGGAGAGAAGCGGAUUAGAUACCCCCGUA
rnacentral:rRNA from 1 species